AGGAUUCUUAAGGGUAAAAGAAAAAAAUCGUAAAUACAUUGUCGUCGCGACGCAGUACCUUAUGAACUUAAAGGGAAGCUCCAAAAGCGUGGUGGGUACGUUUUAGCCUCUCUCCUUCGCUUCUAGGAGCCGAAUAGAUUACGAAAGUGGUUCUGGUCUUUGUCAAAAGAGAGAGAGAGAGAAGGAUUAAGAAAAGGAGGUUAGAGCGAGAAAGAAGAGAGUCCAACUGACAAGAAGACAUACGAGAAGGACCAGGGGUUGUUGUCAAGUGGGUAAAGCCUCCUCCACAACGCUGGCUUUUCUUCCUACAGUGUCUCGUAUCCUUCUGUCUUUCUCUUUUCAGACUCCAAGACCAUUCUUCCAAGUUCCUACGGUUCUUUGUGAAAUGUUAAAACAGACUGGACAGCCACGGCUGCUGAUAAAAGAAAUGGGCAUCCCACCAACCGGACAAGAACAAGAAUAGUAGUAGAGACUUUUCCUGAAUAAUGUACAAGAGAGCGUACCCACUGUUUACUAGUCACCAGCUAUCUAUCGCUCUGGAGGAAGCAAAGAAAAAGAAUAAAGACAGAAGCGUGGUACAGCAUUAAUGAGAAGUCAGUAAAACAGAAAAACUGGGUAAACACGAAACUCAUUCCUCACGCCGUGAGAUUUGUUUACUGGUUCUAAUCGAACCUGUGACGUAACGGGGUCGCGUCACGAUUUACAAUGCUAUUCUGUACCGGCAUCGAUUACCCACAGUACUGUAAUAACGCCCUUGUUAUAACGAACAAGGUAACAGAAGGACGAGGAUAAAAUUGGCAAAGGCCUAUGAGAAUAUUGUCACACUGUUGGCAGAGUAUCCGGAUUUUCUUUGUCACUUGAUAGAAAAAGGGGGUUAUACACCCAGAAAUACCUUUUUUACGAGUACAAUCACCUCGGGAUAUCCUACAUCGUUGACUCUCAGCUACAGUAAAAGUCUUAACCCUGUGUCUCAUGUACAUACGUGGGUGUUCAUGGAUGUAACAUGGCGGGGACCAGGCGCUUUUAAAAUUACGAGUCUCGUGGAAAAACAAUUAACGGUAUCGCUCUCAGGAUGGCUGACAUGGUGGGAACGAUAUAACCGUCUACGAAGAUUCAGGAACUAUUACAACUUGGAUAAUAUUGACUAAGGACACGUCACUACGCCUUAUUGAGGAUUUCAGCAGUUUGGAUAAGAAAACUGUGUAAAUAAUAU